AAACACAGUCCCGUUAGAACGACAAACUCGCUGCCCCCUCUUCCGCGCCUACAAGCAGAGUAGACAAGUUCAGUUCCUGUAAAGAUCUUCAUCAUCAGAGCCGUAAGAGAGAGGUGAGGUGAGGCAAGGCAGCAGGAUGGUGGUGGUGUGUCCCAGGAUCCUGCCUGGGUGUAGGCUCUCCCAGAUCACCAGACUCUUGUCCACCAAGGCAGCCUCCGUCAAUGGCACUAAGGUUGAAGUGCUUGGCAGGGAAUACACCGGUGACCACAUGACCAAUGUCACACCUCACUUGUUGUCUCACAUUGGCCGGGACCUGCACCUGCAGCCCCACCACCCCUUGAGGCAUGUGGCCCAGCGCGUCACUCAGCACAUGUACCGCCAGUACCUGUCGCCGCGCGGCAACCCGCUCUUCUCGGUGCACAGUCAGCUGCACCCUGUGGUCACAACUCACCAGAAUUUUGACUCUUUGCUCAUCCCCAAAGACCAUGUCAGCAGGAAGAAGUCAGACAACUUUUACAUCAAUGAAACUCACCUUCUUCGAGCCCAUACCAGUGCACACCAGAGUGAGCUGAUUAGCAUGGGGUUUGACAACUUCCUGGUGAUUGGAGACGUGUACCGCCGUGAUGACAUUGACGCCUCACACUACCCUGUGUUCCACCAGCUGGAGGGUGUCAGACUCUGCACACUGAAGGAGCUUUACGGGACACAUCAGAACAUGGAUGCCUACCACUUGUUUGAGAAUGGAGAGCGCACCGAAGACCACCAGGGAGUGCACAGUGCAGAGGCUGCCCGCAGGAUGGAGGCAGAGCUGAAAGGAUGUCUACUGGGCCUGGCCACCUCUCUGUUCGGCCAAGACACUGAGGUGCGAUGGGUGGACGCUUACUUCCCCUUUACUCACCCGUCUUGGGAGCUGGAGGUGCAGAUUAACGGGGAAUGGGUGGAGCUGCUCGGCUGUGGCAUCAUGGAGCAGGAGAUCCUUGCCAAUGCUGGAGUGCAGGACAAAAUAGGUUGGGCCUUUGGAUUGGGCCUGGAGCGCUGGGCCAUGAAGCUGUAUGGCAUCCCAGACAUCAGGCUCUUCUGGUCCACUGACUUGGGCUUCCUGUCCCAGUUCCGGUUUGAUGACCCGGCCACUCCGGUCACAUACAAGGCGGUGAGCAAAUACAACCCAUGCAUCAAUGACAUCAGCUUCUGGCUCCCCAAGGAUCAGCAGUAUGAGUCAGCAGACUUCUAUGAUCUUGUACGCUCAGUUGGCGGCAGUCUGGUGGAGCAGGUCAAUUUGGUGGACAGCUUCACCCAUCCCAAGAAGCAGCUCACCUCCCACUGCUACCGCAUCGUGUACCGACACAUGGAGCGAGUGUUGACGCAGGAGGAAGUCAAUGACGUGCACAGGAAGAUUGAACAAGAGGCGGCCUCCAGUUUACAGGUUUCCAUCCGGUGAGAGUCAGCCUGCCAUUAUGCUGUCCUGCCAUCCUGCUGUCCUGUCAUCCUGCAUGGCUCCUUAAAUUACGCCUAUAGUGUGUCGAGGAGGAAGAGAGCAGAUGACGGAGCCGAUGUCAUCUCAAUAGGUCCUGCUCUCGCCUGUUCUUGCCACCACAGAGCAGGUGUUCUUCCACUCGGACGUGCCAGUGCUCUGCGAGACGCGACGGAUACUGCAGGAUGAGAUCACGCCCUUGACUGCUGGCUCCUGGUCCCUGUCCACUCAUGAACACAAGCACUGACAUCCUGCAUUCCUCGCUCAUUUAGUGUCUUGGCGGAAAUUGAGAUCUGUACUUGUCAUUACAAUGUGGUGUUUCUAAUGUAAGACGGGUAAAGGCAAGGGAAACAAAAAUUUACAUAUAAAAAAAUCCCACCGAGGCGCCACUCCCUGAAAAAAAGUGAUUAUCUAAAAUUGGAAGAUAAGUGUCUUGAAAUCUCCCUCUUGAACGAGUGUGUCAUAGGAAGUCUGCAAUAUCUGGUUGAUGUGCUGCUAUAAGCUAUAGUACUGUUAUCUCCCUCCAGAAAUUCAUACUGGAUAUGUAUUGCUUCCUGACUCCAGACGUGUGUGUGUGUGUGUGUGUGUGUGUGUGUGUGUGUUACAAGUGCCCCAGUGUGAAAGGAAUAAAAAGGCAGACGUGUUUGGGAGUCUUAAACUAAAGAGAGAUGGUAAGGCGGGGCACAGGACACGUAUCGUAAUUGUGGAUAUUGUUUUUAGAUUGUGAUUUUCAAUGGGCCCUUUUUUUCAGUGUCUUUUGUUGUCCUUGCCCAGAAUCACUCGUAUAAUUACAUGAAAAGGGUACGCUAAGAAUACGUGUGAGGUGCAGUUUUGUACUGACGAUGCUAGGACACAGGUGAGGUUUUUUUUGAUGUUUUUGAUGCAAUGAAGGCGUCUGAGGCACUUAAGAGAACAUAUUUUGUAUUGACGGUGCUAGGACACGAAUAAAAAUUUUGUCUCUUUUUCUAGAUGCAGUGAAUGAGCAUGGAACACCUAGAAUACCAUAUACUGUAUUACUGAUGGUGCUGGAACAAGAGAGAAAUUUUACGAGAUCCACUCUGCUGGAAAGGAGGUGCUGUGCCGUCCUGUCCUGUGCUGUUGCUGUGCUGCGCUGUACUGUGCUGUCCCUGGGGUGGAGUAAACGGGCUGCAUUGGAAGACUGGCUUUGUGCUACAUGGAG